rnacentral:tRNA from 3 species
GGCCCGAUGGUUUAGUGGUAUAAUUCUCGCUUAGGGUUUUUGCGAGAGGUCCCGGGUUCAAUUCCCGGUUGGGCCC